rnacentral:rRNA from 1 species
UCUUUCAUUGAGUGUUGUGCUAUAUGGAUAGCCGUGGCAAUUCUAGAGCUAAUACAUGCGACAAGGCCUGAGGCGUGCGCUUCUCUUCUUUUUUGGGGGGAAGCUGUGCGUGCUAGGGCUGCAUUUAUUAGGUUCCAAGCCAGCAAGCGAUUGUCUUGUGGUGAAUCAGAAUAACUUUGCGGACCUUUGCAGGUUUUUCUGCGAAGGUGGAUCAUUCGAAUUUCUGCCCUAUCAACUUUCGAUGGUAAGGUAUUGGCUUACCAUGGUGACCACGGGUGACGGGGAACAUUUGGUUCGAUUCCGGAGAGGGAGCCUGAGAAAUGGCUACCACUUCCAAGGAAGGCAGCAGGCGCGCAAAUUACCCAAUCCUGACACAGGGAGGUAGUGACAAUAAAUACCAAUGCACUGCUUUUUUAUAAGCGGUGCAAUUGGAAUGAGAACAAUGCAAAGACCUUAUCGAGAACCCAUUGGAGGGCAAGUCUGGUGCCAGCAGCCGCGGUAAUUCCAGCUCCAAUAGCGUAUAUUAAAGUUGUUGCAGUUAAAAAGCUCGUAGUUGGAUUUCUUGUGGGGCGGGGCGUGUUUUUUUUCGGGUGCGUGCGGGUGUUUUUGAGGGGUGAGUUGGCUCUUGAUUGGGCUGCCUUCCCCUUGUGUGCCUGUGCGUGCCUGUGGCGCGCUUUGCUCUGCGAUUCUUUUUCCCCGAUGCGGCCGUGCGCAUUUCUUUGUGCUGCGGUUUGAGUGUUGGGGGCUUUACUUUGAAAAAAUUAGAGUGUUCAAAGCAGGCGGUAUUUUUACUUGCUUGAAUAGAUUAGCAUGGAACAACGGAAAAGGACUUUUGGGCCUGUAUCUUGUUGGCCGGUGUGUGUGGUGCAGUGGGCCAUUCAUUGUGCCUUCUGGUGCUGCGCGCGCCGCAGGUCUGAAGUAAUGAUUAACAGGGACGGUUGGGGGCACUGGUAUUUCACAGUCAGAGGUGAAAUUCUUGGAUUUGUGAAAGACUAUCGACUGCGAAAGCAUUUGCCAAGGACGUUUUCGUUGAUCAAGAACGAAAGUUAGGGGAUCGAAGACGAUUAGACACCGUCGUAGUCCUAGACCAUAAACGAUGCCGACUAGCGCUCGGUGGAUAGCACGAAAUUUAUUUUGAGUGGCGCCAUCGGGAGCUUGAGGGAAACCAAAGUAUUUGGGCUCCGGGGGUAGUAUAGUCGCAAGGCUGAAACUUAAAGGAAUUGACGGAAGGGCACCACCAGGAGUGGAGCCUGCGGCUCAAUUUGACUCAACACGGGGAAACUCACCAGGUCCAGACAUGGGAAGGAUUGACAGAUUGACAGCUCUUUCUUGAUUCCAAGGGUAGUGGUGCAAGGCCGUUCUUAGCUCGUGGGGUGACUUGUCUGGUUGAUUCCGAUAACGAGCGAGACCUUAACCUGCUAACUGAUGCGUGCUUGUGUAAGCAAGCAUUGGGGCACCAAUCUUUUUUAAUUGGUUUCCCGUGCAUCUCUUAGAGGGACACUCGGCGUUGCUAUUUGAAAGCGUUAGCCGAAGGAAGUGUGAGGCAAUAACAGGUCUGUGAUGCCCUUAGAUGUUCUGGGCUGCACGCGCGCUACACUGACGGGGGCAGCGAGUUUUUUAUACUUGCGGGUGCUGUGUAUGGGCUGAGCUUGGGGGCAACCUCUUUCUUGGCCUUUCUGCAUUGGCUCUGCAAAUUGACCUGCUCUGGAAGGAGUGGGGACUCUUUUGAACACCUGUCGUGCUGGGGAUAGAUGCUUGCAAUUAUUCAUCUUGAACGAGGAAUUCCUAGUAAGCGCAAUCAUCAGAU